rnacentral:rRNA from 1 species
CCUACGGGUGGCAGCAGUGGGGAAUAUUGGACAAUGGGCGAAAGCCUGAUCCAGCCAUGCCGCGUGUGUGAAGAAGGCCUUCGGGUUGUAAAGCACUUUCAGUGGGGAAGAAAGCCUUGGGGCUAAUACCCUCGAGGAAGGACAUCACCCACAGAAGAAGCACCGGCUAACUCCGUGCCAGCAGCCGCGGUAAUACGGAGGGUGCGAGCGUUAAUCGGAAUUACUGGGCGUAAAGCGCGCGUAGGCGGUCUGAUAAGCCGGUUGUGAAAGCCCCGGGCUCAACCUGGGAACGGCAUCCGGAACUGUCAGGCUAGAGUGCAGGAGAGGAAGGUAGAAUUCCCGGGGUAGGGGUGAAAUGCGUAGAGAUCGGGAGGAAUACCAGUGGCGAAGGCGGCCUUCUGGACUGACACUGACGCUGAGGUGCGAAAGCGUGGGUAGCAAACAGGAUUGGAUACCCCAGUAGC